rnacentral:rRNA from 1 species
CAGCCGUAAACUAUGCGCGUUAGGUGUACUGGUGACCACGAGUCACCGGGUGCCGAAGGGAAACCGUGAAACGUGCCGCCUGGGAAGUACGGUCGCAAGGCUGAAACUUAAAGGAAUUGGCGGGGGAGGCACCACAACGGGUGGAGCCUGCGGUUUAAUUUGGACUCAACGCCGGAAAUACUCACCGGAUAGGACAGACAUAUGAUAGUCGGGCUGAAGACUCUACUUGAUGAUCUGAGAGGAGGUGCAUGGCGUCAGUGACU